GAAUAUUGCACAAUGGACGAAAGUCUGAUGCAGCAACGCCGCGUGUGCGAUGAAGGCCUUCGGGUUGUAAAGCACUUUUAUGAGGGAAGAGCAAGGACUGUACCUCAUGAAUAAGGAUCGGCUAACUACGUGCCAGCAGCCGCGGUAACACGUAGGAUCCGAGCGUUAUCCGGAUUUACUGGGCGUAAAGCGCGUGUAGGUGGUUUGCUAAGUUGGGUGUUAAAUCUCUCAGCUCAACUGGGAGGUGUCGCUCAAAACUAGUAGACUGGAGGAUGGUAGAGGGAGGUGGAAUUCCGGGUGUAGUGGUGAAAUGCGUAGAUAUCCGGAGGAACACCAGUGGCGAAGGCGGCCUCCUGGACCAUUCCUGACACUCCAACGCGAAAGCUAGGGGAGCAAACGGG
rnacentral:rRNA from 1 species